GACCUUCAGCCCUUGAGUUACCAGAUGAGGUUGGGACCAAUUAACUGAUUGGCGCGGUAAUGGCUCACCAAGGCGACCAUCCGCAACUGGUCUGAGACGAUGAUCAGUCACACUGGAACUGAGACCCGGUCCACACUCCUACGGGAGGCAUCAGUGGGGAAUAUUGGACAAUGGGCGAAAGCCUGAUCCAGCCAUGCCGCGUGUGUGAACAAGGUCUUCCGAUUGUAAAGCACUUUAAGUUGGGAGGAAGGGCCUUAAGCUAAUACCUUGCUGUUUUGACAUUACCGACGGAAUAAGCACCGGCUAACUUUGUGCCAACACCCCCGGUAAUACCGAGGGUGCAAGCGUUAAUCUGAAUUACUGGGCGUAAAUCUCGCGUAUGUGGGUCCUUAAAUUGGAUGUGAGAGCCCCCGGAUCUCCCUUGGAACUGCAUCCGAAUCUGGCGAGCUAGAGUACUGUAAACGGUGAUGGAAUAUCCUGUGUAACGAUGAAGUGCUUACAUGUGUGAAGGAACACCACUGGCAUAGGCGGCCACAUGGACUGAUCCUGAGACUGUCUCGCGAAUGCGUGUGGAGCUGACGCGAUUAAAUACGCUGAUAAUCCACGACGUAAACAUUUGUACUAGACGUUGGAAUCCAUGAGAGUUUAGUGUCGCAGCUAUCCCACUCAGUUGAGCUCCUGGGGAGUAUGGACGCACUGUUCAAACUCAGAUGAACUGACAGGGGGCCCCUCAAAGCGAUGGACCGUGUGGCCUUAAUUCGCAGUGGCGCGAAGAACCUUACCCGACCUUGCACAUGCAGACCAUAUCUCCGUCAUAUAGGAUUCG
rnacentral:rRNA from 1 species